rnacentral:rRNA from 1 species
UACGUAGGGUGCAAGCGUUGUCCGGAAUUACUGGGCGUAAAGCGCGUGUAGGCGGGUCUUUAAGUCAGGGGUGAAAUGCCAAGGCUCAACCUUGGAACUGCCUUUGAUACUGGAGAUCUUGAGUCCGGGAGAGGUGAGUGGAAUUGCGAGUGUAGAGGUGAAAUUCGUAGAUAUUCGCAAGAACACCAGUGGCGAAGGCGGCUCACUGGCCCGGAACUGACGCUGAGGCACGAAAGCGUGGGGAGCAAACAGG